GCAACUACAACUGUAUUGAUCCUGGCAAUUGCCAUCAUAGUCCGUUUCUGAUAAAGGUUUUAAAAGUCUGCUUUUAAACUGCAAAAGUUUAUUGCUCUCAAUAAAACUGUCACAGUUUUGGUUGUGCUGUGGCCCCUCCAACCUGACCUGAUUUUGUUCCUCGUGGCCAUAUCAGGUAACUUCAGCCCGCUCUUCUGUACUUAGCUAAAGUAAGAAAUCAGAGACCAAGGGAUGAUGCUCAACUGAGGAACUGUGUGUAAAGUUACUUGAUAUUCUACUGAGCACCGAGAAGUCUGGAACUUGAAAAGACACAAUCCAUAUCUAUAAUGGAUCUGCAACAACUCUCUAAGACGUGGUGUGUGUGUGCAUCUACUUCAUCUGUAAGGUUGCUGGCAUCUGACACAUGACCACAGAAUUCCUCAACUGUAGCAGAUGCAACAACUUACAAAUGCAGCAUCGCAGUCACAUGAAGGGCCAGUAGCCACCCAGCUCCGUGGGUCUCAGAAAUGUCAUUUGCCAUCGUUGACUCCAGAAGGAAUGCUACUUGACUUUCAUAACAUCUUAUACGACCUUUAAAUUCAGCCGCAUUAAAGUUACUAAAUGACACUAGAUAAAGAAUGAUUCAGAGACGA